GACUGUACAAAGGUAGCAUAAUCAUUUGUCUUUUAAUUGAGGACUGGAAUGAAUGGUUGGAUGAGAAAUAUUCUUUCUUUAUUUUAUAUAAAAAAAUUAAUUUUUUAGUUAAAAAGCUAGGAUCUUAUUAUAGGACGAGAAGACCCUAUAGAACUUUACUUUUAUAUCUAUAUAAAGUUUAUUUAUUUUUAAAAUUUUGUAUUUUUUUAAAAAGUUUCGUUGGGGUGAUGGAAAAAAUUUUAUAACUUUUUCUAUUUUUUACAAAUAUUUAUGUUUUUUUGAUCCUUUUUUAAGGAAAUAAGAUUAAGUUACCUUAGGGAUAACAGCGUUAUUUUUUCGGAGAGUUCAUAUUGAUGAAAGAGUUUGCGACCUCGAUGUUGGAUUAAAAUAAGUUACAGGGGUAUAAUAUUGUACACUAGGUCUGUUCGACCUUUAAAUUUUUACA
rnacentral:rRNA from 1 species